rnacentral:lncRNA from 1 species
AAGAAGUGCUAGCUCAUCCUGCCACCGGAGCAUUUUGGACACAUUGUGGCUGGAAUUCGACGUUGGAAAGUAUGUGUGAAGGUGUCCCCAUGAUAUGCCAGCCUUGUCAUGGUGAGCAAAUGGUGAUUGCAAGAUAUGUUAGUGAUGUUUGGAAAGUUGGUUUGCAUUUGGAAAGGAAGCUGGAGAGAGGGGAGGUUGAAAGGGCAAUUAGAAGAGUAAUGGUGGAUGCCGAGGGGCGGGAAAUGAGGAACAGAGCUGAGAUUCUGAAGGAAAAACUGGAUCUUUGUACAAAGCAAGGCAGUUCUUCAUAUCAAUCUCUAGAAAACUUGAUUAGUUACAUUUUGUCAUACUAGAUUUUCCAAUACUUACAUCUAUCUUUCUAAUAAGGGCAGU